ensembl:lncRNA
GGAAAGCGCGUCAGUGCGUGAUGAUGUCAAAAAAAAAAUAAAAAAACUCAUUAAACAUUUCAUUAAGACACAAAGCACACGGUUAGAACAGGCAUACAUAGUAGCCAACUUUUAAAAAAAAAAAAAAUUAAUAGCAGACAUGUUAGUAGUAUUUAUUAUUUAGUUUGUAGCUAUGUCUUAUCUGCAGACCCAUUUGCAGAGAGCAAGUGUUAAUUUCAAGAACCACUCAUGAAGGAUAAUAGUUUGACAUGUAAAUUAUAUGUGAUUUAAUUUAAGGCUUGGGUCAUGCUGCAGUCAUGCAGCUGCAAUUUUAUUCAAAAUCGAAAUCUGUGUUAGAAUGGGAUUGACAGAGAAACCAGCACUCACUUCUGGAGAGUGCAAGUGGAAAGCCUUACGCAGGAAAGAAGUCGAACCAGCCCCAUUAAAGAAAAUCAGCUUCCACAAACCAAAGAGGACAGGCAGGCUAGACAGGCAGCUUCCAGAAACGGUCAGGAGUAGAUCUAGUUCCACCGCCAGAGCCACAGUGUUGACAGAUGAUGACAUCAAAGAGUUGCAGAUUAUAGCCCCUGGUGCUGCAGUACUGACAAGUUUAGAAAAUAGUGAUACAGACACAGCAUCCGAUACUGAUACAGAGGAACACUCAAACUUACCCGAGCCCUUGACUGUUUUAUUUGAUGGAACACUCAGGGAACUCUCACCACAAGAAUUACAGGUUAAAAGUGAGGACACAUUUCACAGACUGAAGAAUAAACUACAACCUCAUCAGUGUGAAAGGCUGGAAUUUGUCACAUGACAACAGUCAAGCUCAAAGGAUUGGCAAACCUACAGGGCUGGUCGAAUUACAAGUACUAGGUUUUAUCGUGUGGCUACAGCUGACAAUAUCAGCAACACCUACCUGAGUGAGAUAAUGCAGUACAACCACACACAGCUAAAUGUCCCAUCUGUUCUCUGGGGUAAGUCCAUGGAAGAAACUGCAAGACAAGCCUACAUGUCCCUUAUGGUCGAAAACCAUCAAGACUUCAGUGUAAGUUCCUUUGGCCUA